rnacentral:rRNA from 1 species
UACGAAGGGGGCUAGCGUUGUUCGGAAUCACUGGGCGUAAAGGGCGCGUAGGCGGCCGAUCAAGUCGGGGGUGAAAGCCUGUGGCUCAACCACAGAAUUGCCUUCGAUACUGGUUGGCUUGAGACCGGAAGAGGUAAGUGGAACUGCGAGUGUAGAGGUGAAAUUCGUAGAUAUUCGCAAGAACACCAGUGGCGAAGGCGGCUUACUGGUCCGGUUCUGACGCUGAGGCGCGAAAGCGUGGGGAGCGAACGGG